CACUGUAUAAAUUUCAGAUCAUUGUUGUGGUGUAUAGAUUUUUUUUUUUCUCUUUCAAAAAAUUUUUUUUUUCAACUUCAUUUUCCAUCAGCAGUUUCACUGUCAUUAUAGAUGAGUUGGUCAAAUAAUGCCUUCAUUCACAAACUCUAUGGAGUCACUGUAUAGUUGUGAUUUUGUGUGUAUGCAUCAUAACAAGCUGCAUUUUGUUUUACUUUUCAGACCAGCCCUGUGGAACAACAUAGAGAAGUUGUAAUUCUAUGCUUAAUUGUCUGCCUCUCUGAAAAUCCUGAGAAUCUCAUCAAGCACCAUCAGGAUACUCAUGGGAAUAAGGAGGAACUGGAACUGCUCACACUUAAAAUCAUCAAGAAAGGUGGCUCAACAGAUGAUCCAUUACAGACUGGGAUAGUGCUGGAAGGCAUAGAGGUGAUGACGAGAUUGGCAGGUGUUGCGAAGGCUUGUGUUUUUCUGCUUGGCCUAAUUUAAGCAAUUAAUCUGAGUUACCCCAAAGAGCUCAAUGAACAAUGUU
ensembl:lncRNA